rnacentral:rRNA from 1 species
CUAGGGAAUCUUGCACAAUGGAGGAAACUCUGAUGCAGCGAUGCCGCGUGAGUGAAGAAGGCCUUUGGGUUGUAAAGCUCUUUCAUCGGGGAAGAAAAUGACUGUACCCGAAUAAGAAGGUCCGGCUAACUUCGUGCCAGCAGCCGCGGUAAUAU